CGAUGGGCGAAAGCUGACGGUAUCACGCCGCGUGAGGGAUGAAGGCCUCUGGGCUGUAAACCUCUUUUAUCAAGGAAGAAGAUUGACGGUACUUGAUGAAUAAGCCACGGCUAAUUCCGUGCCAGCAGCCGCGGUAAUACGGGAGUGGCAAGCGUUAUCCGGAAUUAUUGGGCGUAACGCGUCCGCAGGCGGUUUUGUAAGUCUGUCGUUAAAGCGUGGAGCUUAACUCCAUUUAAGCGAUGGAAACUGCAAGACUAGAGUGUGGUAGGGGCAGAGGGAAUUCCCGGUGUAGCGGUGAAAUGCGUAGAUAUCGGGAAGAACACCAGUGGCGAAGGCGCUCUGCUGGGCCAUAACUGACGCUCAUGGACGAAAGCCAGUGGAGCGAAAGGGAUUAGAUACCCCUGUAGUCCUGGCCGUAAACGAUGAACACUAGGUGUCGGGGGAAUCGACCCCCUCGGUGUCGUAGCCAACGCGUUAAAGUGUUCCGACUGGGGAGUACGCACGGCAAGUGUGAAACUCAAAGGAAUUGACGGUGGUCCAGACAAGCCGGUGGAGUAUGUGGU
rnacentral:rRNA from 1 species